rnacentral:rRNA from 1 species
GUUACAUGCCCUGAAGUGGGGGAUAGCCCGGGGAAACCCGGAUUAAUACCCCAUGGUCCCGCAAGGGUAAAGAUGGCGUAAGCUGUCGCUUCAGGAUUGGCUCGCGGCCUAUCAGCUAGUUGGCGGGGUAACGGCCCACCAAGGCGACGACGGGUAGCUGGUCUGAGAGGACGAUCAGUCACACUGGAACUGAGACACGGUCCAGACACCUACGGGUGGCAGCAGUCGAGAAUCAUUCACAAUGGGGGAAACCCUGAUGGUGCAACGCCGCGUGGAGGAUGACGGUCUUCGGAUUGUAAACUCCUGUCAUCUGGGAGUAAGACCUGGCUGUGAAUAGCAGACAGGGUUGAUAGUACCAGAAGAGGAAGGGACGGCUAACUUCGUGCCAGCAGCCGCGGUAAUACGAAGGUCCCAAGCGUUGUUCGGAAUCACUGGGCGUAAAGGGUGCGUAGGCGGUACGGUAAGUCAGAUGUGAAAUCUCGGGGCUCAACCCCGAAACUGCAUCCGAUACUGCCGUACUUGAGGACUGGAGAGGAGACUGGAAUUCUCGGUGUAGCAGUGAAAUGCGUAGAGAUCGAGAGGAACACUCGUGGCGAAGGCGAGUCUCUGGACAGUUCCUGACGCUGAGGCACGAAGGCCGGGGUAGCGAAAGGGAUUAGAUACCCCUGUAGUCAAAGGGCGAAUUCUUGCAGAUA